GGUUUCCAGCAGGCUUUCAUACUGUUGAGGAAGUAAUCAAGUUCAUCACCCUGGUGAUCUUCACAGUGACAGCUCAACAUGCUGCAGUAAACAGUGGGCAGUUUGACUACUACUCCUGGGUGCCCAAUGGCUCACUCCUGCUGCACAAACCUCCAACCACUAAGGGGCAGUAAAGCAUGAACACCAUUUUGGAGACCCUCCCAGAUGUUGGGGACACAGUCAGCUUUGUCGGAAUGGCUCGCCUGCUUUCAGAGACAUACACAGAUGCUGUUUCGAUGGGUACAUACCCCGAAGAACGAUUCGAUGAGCCUGCCCCUAAGCAGAUGAUUAAGGAAUUUCAAGCAGAGUUGUCUUACCUCAGUGAAGAAAUUGCAACAGGAAACUUACAGCUUGAAGUACCCUACACAUAUCUGAACCCUGCUGAGAUAGAGAACAGUGUAGCUAUUUAGGAGAGUCUGAGGGAGCCAUUCUGCAUGAGAUGAUUAUAUCCAUGCAUUUCUUAACACCUGUCUUGCAGGCUGGGAGGUGUGUUAUACUUUGCAUUUAUUGAUACAAUAGGUGGUAGAGACAGUUUAGUGAGGUGCUGCAUGCUGGGACAAGAGGACUAUAUUUUGGUUGUGCCCAUAUAAUGGUGACAUAUAGACCUACAGUACUAUGUUGAGCAGAAACUUAACUGAUUAACACAGGCCACUAGUACCAAUUGGGCUUUUGCCCAAAACAGCUAAAUAAUUGUGAAAGUGAAUGGUUUUAUAUUUAAAGUUUUUUGCAUUUAUGUACAUUUCUGCUUUGAUGUUGUUGUUUCAGACUUCUACAAGUGCAUAAAAUUCAUAUUUAUAUAUAAAUCCACAAAGCAGGAACACUCAAGUUCUGUAUCAGCAAUAUAACUCCGGGUUUUAUCUGUACUGUUUCUUUCCUGUAACGCAU